rnacentral:pre_miRNA from 1 species
AUCUCCUAGAAGUCUUCUUAAAAUGUAGAUUCUGAUUCAGUAGGUCUGAGAGCCUGCAUUUCUAACAAGAUUCCAGGUGAUACUAA